AUGCAAGUCGAACGGCAGCGGGGGAAAGCUUGCUUUCCUGCCGGCGAGUGGCGAACGGGUGAGUAAUACAUCGGAACGUGCCCUGUAGUGGGGGAUAACUAGUCGAAAGAUUAGCUAAUACCGCAUACGACCUGAGGGUGAAAGUGGGGGACCGCAAGGCCUCAUGCUAUAGGAGCGGCCGAUGUCUGAUUAGCUAGUUGGUGGGGUAAAGGCCUACCAAGGCGACGAUCAGUAGCUGGUCUGAGAGGACGAUCAGCCACACUGGGACUGAGACACGGCCCAGACUCCUACGGGAGGCAGCAGUGGGGAAUUUUGGACAAUGGGCGAAAGCCUGAUCCAGCAAUGCCGCGUGUGUGAAGAAGGCCUUCGGGUUGUAAAGCACUUUUGUCCGGAAAGAAAUGGCUCUGGUUAAUACCCGGAGUUGAUGACGGUACCGGAAGAAUAAGGACCGGCUAACUACGUGCCAGCAGCCGCGGUAAUACGUAGGGUCCAAGCGUUAAUCGGAAUUACUGGGCGUAAAGCGUGCGCAGGCGGUUGUGCAAGACCGAUGUGAAAUCCCCGGGCUUAACCUGGGAAUUGCAUUGGUGACUGCACGGCUAGAGUGUGUCAGAGGGAGGUAGAAUUCCACGUGUAGCAGUGAAAUGCGUAGAGAUGUGGAGGAAUACCGAUGGCGAAGGCAGCCUCCUGGGAUAACACUGACGCUCAUGCACGAAAGCGUGGGGAGCAAACAGGAUUAGAUACCCUGGUAGUCCACGCCCUAAACGAUGUCAACUAGUUGUUGGGGAUUCAUUUCCUUAGUAACGUAGCUAACGCGUGAAGUUGACCGCCUGGGGAGUACGGUCGCAAGAUUAAAACUCAAAGGAAUUGACGGGGACCCGCACAAGCGGUGGAUGAUGUGGAUUAAUUCGAUGCAACGCGAAAAACCUUACCUACCCUUGACAUGCCACUAACGAAGCAGAGAUGCAUUAGGUGCUCGAAAGAGAAAGUGGACACAGGUGCUGCAUGGCUGUCGUCAGCUCGUGUCGUGAGAUGUUGGGUUAAGUCCCGCAACGAGCGCAACCCUUGUCUCUAGUUGCUACGAAAGGGCACUCUAGAGAGACUGCCGGUGACAAACCGGAGGAAGGUGGGGAUGACGUCA
rnacentral:rRNA from 1 species